GAUUCAUAAAUAGUGGUCGUGCCCGCCCCUGUUUCUCUCGUUGUUCGCUUCUCAAGAUGAUGGCGUUUGACGGCGUUCGCGGGGCGCCGCGCCGCGGCAUCCGUACUUGUGAGACGAAGUUGACGUCAUCAGCGCGUGCGCGCCGCGUCGGGACGGCACUGCAGAAGCAGGCGAGUUCGCGAAUGUAUCGAUUUUACGAUCGUGCCUCUCUCACGGUGCCAGUGCGUCCGUCGUUUCCUUUAGUUUUUUAGUGGACGUGCACGUUGUACAUGGAUAAAACCGUGAAUGGGAUUACUCGCUAGACACGUCGCUCCGUACACCGCCCGCUGACUCGCAACUCCUCGUCAUCCUUCACCAUGACCAAGGAUAGAUUAGCAGCCCUCGUCGCGGCCCAGUCAGACGAUGACGAUGUGGCGGACGAUGUGUCCGUCAACGUCGGGGCGCCGGAUGACUUCAUGACGGAAUUUUUCGCGGAGGUGGAGGAGAUCCGCGAAAUGAUAGACAGGAUCCAGACAAACGUGGAAGAUGUGAAGAAAAAGCACAGCGCCAUUCUCUCCGCGCCGCAGACCGAUGAGAAGGUGAAACUAGAACUGGAAGACCUGAUGUCUGACAUCAAGAAAACCGCUAACAAAGUGAGGGCUAAAUUAAAGGUGAUAGAGCAAAACAUCGAGCAAGAGGAGCACACCAAUAAAUCGUCAGCAGAUCUAAGGAUACGCAAAACCCAGCACUCGACGUUGUCUAGGAAGUUCGUUGAGGUGAUGACGGAGUAUAAUCGAACACAAACCGAUUAUAGAGAGCGGUGUAAGGGAAGAAUACAACGACAGCUCGAGAUCACGGGGAGAACAACCACCAAUGAGGAACUCGAGGAGAUGCUGGAACAAGGAAAUCCAGCCGUUUUCACGCAAGGGAUCAUUAUGGAAACGCAACAAGCAAAACAAACCCUUGCGGACAUCGAGGCGCGUCACGCUGACAUCAUUAAACUCGAAAACUCCAUCAGGGAGUUGCACGACAUGUUCAUGGACAUGGCCAUGUUGGUAGAAAGUCAGGGUGAAAUGAUGGACAGCAUUGAGUACUGCGUGAAUCAGACCGGCGACCACGUCGGCCAGGCCCGGGGCGAGCUGAUUAAAGCCGAAGAGUACCGAUCCAAGGCUCGUAAGAAAUUGUUCCUGAUAUCGAUCUGCGUGACGAUAGCAGUCAUCAUUCUGAUUAUCAUUUUGGUAGUUAGUUUAAGUUAGCUUAAGCAUACGCACGCGACAUUGGCGAUAGAAAAAAAAAAAUAAACAUAUUCGCAGAGUAAGUUUAACGGAAUGAAGGGGAAAAAAAUAGAACAAAUCGGGACGAGACAAGUAUUUUGAAUUGCCGAAAUAUUCGUCAUUCUUGUCUCGUCUCUCCGAUGAUGAGAAACGAAGAUCGACGCGGACCACGUCCAUCUUGAAUUUUCGCCGGGAAAUUCGGAUAGCGCGAUACGCAUCACCGAUCUCGAGGUAUCGUCUACGCAAGAUCGUUAAGUUUAUUUAUUAUUGAAUUUUAAUAAAUUUUAUGUGUUUAUACAUUUAUUAGUCUUAAAGAAUUUACUUUGUAUUCUCACGAUUAUUCUAACCGCGGGUUAACCAAUAUAUUGUGUAUCGAAUGUGAUGGUAAUCAGGAUCCAUCGUGCGGAUGUAAUUUUCCGGAAAAACGUCUCGAUGGAUAUCGCAAACGUCAUAACGCCAGAGUAGAAGUUAGGAACGGUGAUAAAACGUGCGUUAUAAGUCUGGAUUACACGAAGAACAAACUAUCACUUUAUUAGCGAAGAUUGUAAUCAAGUUCCUUCUAUCUCGUUUUGCGCCUCAAUACGUUGGAAAACGCGUAAAACCGCGAUAUUAAUUUUUAUUACAUUCUUUCGAAGAAACUAUAUCUUACCGAUUGCGAGAAGAAAUUGAGACAAGAAUUUGUAUAAACUUGCAGAGCGACGGUUCUUGAAAUUAAAAAAGAAAUAUACGUAUAUAGUGCUUGUACAAAUUAAAUACUGUAUUUGUUUAAAAUGCGCGCGUGCACUGCAAGUUUACGUUAAAUGGAUCGUAGAAAUGGAGAUAAGAAAUGCCGAGAAAAAUGAUCGAAGUCGGUGUUUUCUUUGGAAUGGAAUGGAGAUCGCCAUCACUGAUAGCUUUUCCUCGCAUUCGGGCGUAUCUUCACACUGCCUUUUAUUAUUUUUUUCACUUUUAUUAUUUUUGCCACUUCAUCGUUCUUAAUCCAAGUUCUGACGUGAGCGAGUAAUAACGAUGGCGAUUGCACAAUCGAAAAUCACGCGCGACAUACGAGAUCGAACACAUGCGCCCUUUUCCAAAUCGUCUUCAGAACGAAGCUCGCCGUCGAUUUGAUACGAAAUGCAGCGACAGCAAACUGAACCAUUCGUGAUUUUCAUUUCUCUUUCUAUAUUUAUCACCAACGAAUAUUGAUUUUGACUACCGUGUCACUGGAGGAGAAAUUAUUAAAUGUCAGCAAUCUAUAAAACAGUUCAGAAUCACUAAAAUAAGACCUCAAUAUAUUUUAUAUUCAGAAUUGUCACUCUCAUAACUCCGUUCUCUAAAUGAAUAAAUAAAGAUUAAAAUAUGAAGGCAAAAGUUAUCAUAUUAAAUUUAAUUUUUUUAAAAUCUGUUCGUUAAAUUCUUCCAGUUUUAUAUUGAGAUCUUUUAACGUCGAUUAAGAAAACACCCUUGGAACGUAGCUAUAACGAGCGCGAAAAUAUUCGACUUUACAUUAUAAAUUUUUGUUUUUGUCCACUAACCAAAUUGGUAUUUGAUGUCGGCGCAAAUUGUUUGUUGUCGCCGCAGAUUCGUUUGAUAUCAUUAAGUCAGCAAUACUCUUUAGAUCAGACUUGUCCAACACUUUACCAGCAAACUAUAAACGCUUUCACCUCUCGUUAAGUAAAACGUUUACGAACAAAAUGUUGGAGAAGUUUGCUCUAGAUAAUAGAAAAGGCAAUUUGAAUCGGCGCGGGUGGCGCGAGUUGGAGUUCGACGCUUCCGUAUUUGUCCCAGAACUGAUCGAUCGUUUCUGUGCGAAAUGUGACAGAGACGUUAUCUUCUUCACGCUCGCGUAUUUUAAUUCUUGUCUGGACGCGAGAAUUUCUGCUCGGUCGGGACAUUAAUCCGCGUGAUAACGACGUGUUUCGCGAUACGUAUGUAUGCUCCAAUGAAUACUUAGAUAUCGAUCACCGUCGUCGCAAUGCAGACCGCACGACACGAUAAUGGUGCCCGUGGCAUUGUACAUGUAAAUAAUCGUAAUUUGUAUAGAGCAGAUGAUAAUAAUAAUAAUAACAAGAUAACGAAAAAAAGAGUAACAAUAUUAAUCAUUAACGCGCCGAUAUAGUAUAAUAAACAUUUUCUUCUUCGGAUGUAUUCAGCGUGAAAAAAAGAAACUGUUACACAUAGAUAGGAGAAUGGCGGUAUGGUACGUCUUUGUUUCUCUGUCGUCUUUAUUGUACUUGCCGCCUCUCACGGAGAAGGAAACAAAAAGGAAAUUGUUCGUUAGUAAAACACCAGGUGCGAAUAAAAUGAGAUGUAAUAUAAUUAGCGCUGACCGUACGAAAUGAUAGUAGAAUCGCGAAAAUAAUAGAAUUCAUGUCGCGUUUUAUACAAGAUAUAAGAGAAAAGAAACAUCAAUGCGUUCGAUCGAGAAUUAAUUCACGGUGGAUAUUAGAUAUAAAUUUCCUUGGCGGAGUAUACUUGCUGCGAAGACAAGGAGAGAGAAAAGCGGGAUAAGAUAAAUUAGAAAAGAAUCUAAGAAGAUGCACCAUUGAAGCUGCACGGAAACAAGAGGAAAUUCUUGGAAGAAAACGGACGUUAACGAUGUCGAUUAAUGAAGGCCACUGCAACGUGCAUCGUCCGUGCCGGCAACGAGCAAGAGCUUAUUUCUUUCAGGUAUUUUACUAUAUAAUCGAUCGAUAAGUAAACAAUUGUAAUGUGUAAUGUAAUGUAUAAUGUAUUAACAAUGGACAGAGAGCACACAGAAUAAGAGGCAGAUGAAGAGAGAGAAAGAGUGAGAGGACGGGGGGAAAUAGAUGUGAGAAUAAAGAAAUUUAGGAAUGACAGUUAGGAGAGAGAGAGACACACACAGACAGAGAAAGCUUUAUAAUAAAUUAUAUUAAACUUUAACGAUCUCUGUUAAUGCCGAGUGCAGAAGAAGAUCAUGAUCAUGAUUUGCCUCGCCGUAUUGGGCGUUGUCGUCGCUACCACCAUCGGUGGAUAUUUCGGACUGUG